rnacentral:rRNA from 1 species
UACGGAGGGUGCAAACGUUGCUCGGAAUUAUUGGGCGUAAAGCGCACGUAGGCGGUUCGUUAUGUCGGAUGUGAAAGCCCUCGGCUUAACCGAGGAAGUGCAUCCGAAACUGGCGAGCUUGAGUACGGAAGAGGGUCUCGGAAUUCCCGGUGUAGAGGUGAAAUUCGUAGAUAUCGGGAGGAACACCAGUGGCGAAGGCGGAGACCUGGGCCGAUACUGACG